ACGGCAUUACUGGCGGACUUCUUCACUCAAGCCAUGGUGCACGUUUCCCAUCGCUCACGCACAUCGCACGCGACCAUCGUGCCGCUUUCUCCUCUUCACCGGCGCGGUGUGCCCUCUUGAUUAGGAGGCCGCGUCGCUGCUGCUCUCGCAUUGUGCGGAGCGGGACGUCUUCUUCAUCACGGCGGUGGCGGCUUUUCACACGCAACACUUCCGCACCUGCAUGAUGGCGGCGCCGCGCUUUCUGCACUGGGCGGAAGAAAACGGGGUGAUGGCGCAGUCGAUUGAGGCGAGCCACCACCGCGCUGACGCGCGACGGAUGUCCGUGGAUGCUGAAAGCGAGGCAGGGCCGCUGCUGCGUCACCAUAUUCACUCGACCCACUCAGCGGCGCGACGGUCAUCGCUGCCGGCUGCGGCGGGCGUGCCUGGCGUGCAGGAGUACCAGUGCCGCCUUGCCCUCCUCCAGCACGCGUGGUCGAGUGUGCAGAUGGGUAAGCGCUUGCAGUUUGGCAAGGACGCGGUCGCCCUUCUCGACUACGCCGAAGACUCUCUGAGCUACCAUGUCGGGUGUGCGCUGGCGCUCUUCGGGCUGCCACUGCCGGCUGCCGAGGAGACAGUCAUGAAUGCCACCGCGUACCUCACAGGCACCGUUGCCGAAGUGACGUCGACGCCCGCACACGCUGUCUCGCCUCGUUCGUUUUCGCUUGCCAUGCAAAGAGACCUGUACGCUCUAACGGAGUCGGUGCACGCGCUGACGCUUUUGCACCUGGGCAUGGUGGAGCCGGCGAUGCAGAUGGCAAAGGCCGCCCUUGACAGAGCCGAGGCUCUGCGAACGCGCGGCAGCAGUUCCGUCGACAAUGACAAGGAUGAUGCCCUGCUCCUGGACACGCUGCGCCGCGUUGUGGUGAUGGCCGUCACCGCGCUGGAGGACGCCGCAUCGGCGCUGGAGGUGACACUGUCGCCGCAUCUCCUCGCGUACAUUGCGGUGUGCCUGCCUUCUUCGGCGGUCUCUGCGCUGGCGGCAUUUGCGUCAGGGCGCAGUCCGAGGCGCACUGCCUGUUAUACCCGUCAGACCUGCCCCUGCACGCUUCCACGCGACAGAUGAUCCCGUUCCACAUGAACCGCGCCGUGUAUCUCUACCACGCCGGGCAGCUGUGCGGCGCCUGGGAUGACGCGUGCUGCGCCGUCGCCACGGUGGACGAGUUGGCCGGCUCCGUCGAGCUUGCCUUCUCCGACUGCUUCUCGCUCCAUAUGUACUACUUUACCUGCCACGUCGGAUUCGCACUGCUUGAGGAGCUCCUGUUAGCCGAUCUGGAGGCGGCAAAGGCGUGCCUGUCGCACCCCACCAGCAAGGAGGCCAAGGACAAGAAGGACGCAACGCUGCAGGAGGACGAGAUUCUCAUCAAAGAGAUUUUGCACAUAUGGCAGGACGUGGUGCGGCGCAUGCUACACUUCUACCCGCACUCUCGCCUGAAUGAGCUGUGCCAGGCGCAGCUGAAGAUUAUCCGCGGUGAGAAGCACUCCCUGAGCCAGGCGGUGCUGCUAGCCGACUGCUAACCGCACAGCCCAGCGGCGCAGAACUUGCUGGCACUCGCCCUAUAUGUUGACCACCACGUUCCAGAGGCGGUCGACAAUGCUGUCAAGAACCUGCAGGCCUUCCCGCACUCGCGCGAGAUCAUCCAGAUGCACAGCAUGCUGCAUAAAAAGCGUGUCGUCUAUCGGUUUGACUACCGCUGAAUUCUUCUGACGAGCUGCAAGCCCGGGUUGGCCAUGCACGGGAUCACGAAGCGAAUGGCGCUCCUCGUCUUUCUGCUGGCGGCCAACUUGGGAGUGUUGUACCUCACCGUCUACGUG
rnacentral:misc_RNA from 1 species